GACGAACGCUGGCGGCGUGCUUAACACAUGCAAGUCGAACGGUGACGGAGAGCUUGCUCUCCUGAUCAGUGGCGAACGGGUGAGUAACACGUGGGCAACCUGCCCAGACUUCGGGAUAACGCUUCGAAAGAGGUGCUAAUACCGAAUACGAACCUCCCUGGCAUCUGGGAGGUUGGAAAGUUUUCGGUCUGGGAUGGGCCCGCGGCCUAUCAGCUUGUUGGUGAGGUAACGGCUCACCAAGGCGACGACGGGUAGCCGGCCUGAGAGGGCGACCGGCCACACUGGGACUGAGACACGGCCCAGACUCCUACGGGAGGCAGCAGUGGGAAUAUUGCGCAAUGGGCGAAAGCCUGACGCAGCAACGCCGCGUGAGGGAUGACGGCCUU
rnacentral:rRNA from 1 species